rnacentral:rRNA from 1 species
CCUACGGGCGGCAGCAGUGAGGAAUAUUGGUCAAUGGUCGGGAGACUGAACCAGCCAAGCCGCGUGAGGGAGGAAGGUACAGAGUAUCGUAAACCUCUUUUGUCAGGGAACAAAGGCGGGGACGUGUCCCCGGAUGAGUGUACCUGAAGAAAAAGCAUCGGCUAACUCCGUGCAAGCAGCCGCGGUAAUACGGAGGAUGCGAGCGUUAUCCGGAUUUAUGGGGGUUAAGGGGUGCGCAGGCGUUCUGUUAAGUCAGCGGUCAAAGCCCGGGGCUCACCCCCGGCCCGCCGUUGAACCUGGCAGUCUCGAGUUGGAGAGAAGUAUGCGGAAUGCGCGGUGUAGCGGUGAAAUGCAUAGAUAUCGCGCAGAACUCCGAUUGCGAAGGCAGCAUGCCGGCUCCACACUGACGCUGAGGCACGAAAGCGUGGGUAUCGAACAGGAUUAGAUACCCGAGUAGUC